rnacentral:tRNA from 1 species
ACCUGACUGGCUCAGUAGGUAGAGCACGAGCCUCUUAAUCUCGGGUUGUAAGCUCAAGCCCCACGUUUGGUG